rnacentral:rRNA from 1 species
GACGAACCGUGCGAACGUUAUUCGGAAUCACUGGGCUUAAAGCGCGUGUAGGCGGGCCACCACGUCGGUCGCUGAAAGCCCCCGGCUCAACCGGGGAACUGGCGCCGAUACGAGUGGCCUGGAGGGGGGUAGGGGGACCUGGAACUUCCGGUGGAGCGGUGAAAUGCGUUGAGAUCGGAAGGAACGCCCGUGGCGAAGGCGGCAUCCUGGACCGGCAUUGACGCUGAGGCGCGAAAGCCAGGGGAGCAAACGGG